rnacentral:rRNA from 1 species
UGGGGAAUAUUGGACAAUGGGCGCAAGCCUGAUCCAGCCAUACCGCGUGGGUGAAGAAGGCCUUCGGGUUGUAAAGCCCUUUUGUUGGGAAAGAAAUCCUGUCGAUUAAUACUCGGUGGGGAUGACGGUACCCAAAGAAUAAGCACCGGCUAACUUCGUGCCAGCAGCCGCGGUAAUACGAAGGGUGCAAGCGUUACUCGGAAUUACUGGGCGUAAAGCGUGCGUAGGUGGUGGUUUAAGUCUGCUGUGAAAGCCCUGGGCUCAACCUGGGAAUUGCAGUGGAUACUGGAUCACUAGAGUGUGGUAGAGGGAUGCGGAAUUUCUGGUGUAGCAGUGAAAUGCGUAGAGAUCAGAAGGAACAUCCGUGGCGAAGGCGGCAUCCUGGGCCAACACUGACACU